CAUAUUCCAGGGCCGUCCCCAUACCCCGUCCGGUAUGGGCGCCAAAACACAUAAGAUCUUCAUACCCCGUCCGGUAUGGGAGACCACAAUCCCGGUAGGGUUCCCUACGGACCCGGUCCGUCCACCAUCUCCCAGGAUGUCUAGUCAGGCUGAACACAUUAUAUAAUUUCCAUUUACAUAAUCUUUCAUUCUCCUUUUCCCUCAGUCAGCAUUAUCAAUCACAUACAAACAAGCAAAAUGAUAAUUUAUGCCAAAAAGACAACAUACAACA
rnacentral:lncRNA from 1 species